rnacentral:rRNA from 1 species
AUUGAACGCUGGCGGCAUGCUUUACACAUGCAAGUCGAACGGCAGCACGGGUGCUUGCACCUGGUGGCGAGUGGCGGACGGGUGAGUAAUGCAUCGGAACGUGUCCCAAAGUGGGGGAUAACGCAUCGAAAGAUGUGCUAAUACCGCAUAUUCUCUGAGGAGGAAAGUAGGGGAUCGAAAGACCUUAUGCUUUUGGAGCGGCCGAUGUCUGAUUAGCUAGUUGGUAAGGUAAUGGCUUACCAAGGCGACGAUCAGUAGUUGGUCUGAGAGGACGACCAGCCACACUGGGACUGAGACACGGCCCAGACUCCUACGGGAGGCAGCAGUGGGGAAUUUUGGACAAUGGGCGCAAGCCUGAUCCAGCAAUGCCGCGUGAGUGAAGAAGGCCUUCGGGUUGUAAAGCUCUUUCAGUUGAAAAGAAAAAGCCGUGACUAAUAAUCAUGGUUCAUGACGGUAUCAACAGAAGAAGCACCGGCUAACUACGUG